UCCCGACCCUUUCCUAGCAGUUUCGUUGCUCUCCCGCCUCCCGUCCGCGGCCCAGCUCUGCGGGGAUCAGGUGAGAAAACUGAUGCUUGGAGAGGUGAUCACUUGCCUAGGGUCACACAACGACAACUAACACGUGUAAAGAACUGGCUAUGUGAAAGAACUCAUUUAAUCCUUACAACAACCAGAUGGAGUAGUUAACUCCAUUUUAUAGAAGGGGAAAACCAAGAUCCGUGCCUGGAGUUGGAUCCAGAGGCCUGCCCCCCAUGCCAUCCUCACCACAUUUCUCAUUUCUGAGGCUUGGAUAGUGGGCUUGCAGGGGAAGAUGACAGUUUUCUCCUCGGCUUUGCGGAGUGGCAGCAGAGUCCGUUUGCCCUGGAAAAAACGUCCGCACAGUGAGGAUCACCAAGGGCCCUCUCCCAUUUCACCCCUGCCCUCCUGGAGCGUGAAGCUGCACAGAGCACACAGCAGGGCACUCUUGGGCAGGGCUGUGCCCACUCACCAGCUUCUUCCUGCGUUCAUCAAUCUGACAGAAGUAGGUGCUGAUGUAGAUGUUGUCAAAGCGAAUGUCCCCAUUAUAGCUGUCCAUGUAGGAGAAGGACCUGUGGACGAGGAUGUCUCCAUCUCCUCCAGGUUCUCUUCACCCACCCCAACCACGGGCUUCCUUGACACAGUCAUUCAACCGACCAACCUGCAUGCACUGAGCACCAUCUGGGUUCUAGAGAAGAAGACUGUGCCCUGCCCUCUGGCAGCCCACAGUCAAUGAAAGACAUGCACAUACACAGUGGAGGAGAAAACAGA